rnacentral:rRNA from 1 species
CCUACGGGGGGCUGCAGUGGGGAAUAUUGCACAAUGGGCGCAAGCCUGAUGCAGCCAUGCCGCGUGUGUGAAGAAGGCCUUCGGGUUGUAAAGCACUUUCAGCGGGGAGGAAGGCGGUGAGGUUAAUAACCUCAUCGAUUGACGUUACCCGCAGAAGAAGCACCGGCUAACUCCGUGCCGGCAGCCGCGGUAAUACGGAGGGUGCAAGCGUUAAUCGGAAUUACUGGGCGUAAAGCGCACGCAGGCGGUCGGUCAAGUCGGAUGUGAAAUCCCCGGGCUCAACCUGGGAACUGCAUUCGAAACUGGCAGGCUAGAGUCUUGUAGAGGGGGGUAGAAUUCCAGGUGUAGCGGUGAAAUGCGUAGAGAUCUGGAGGAAUACCGGUGGCGAAGGCGGCCCCCUGGACAAAGACUGACGCUCAGGUGCGAAAGCGUGGGGAGCAAACAGGAUUAGAUACCCGAGUAGUC